AUUGAACGCUGGCGGCAUGCCUUACACAUGCAAGUCGAACGGCAGCACGGGUGCUUGCACCUGGUGGCGAGUGGCGAACGGGUGAGUAAUAUAUCGGAACAUACCCUAGAGUGGGGGAUAACGUAGCGAAAGUUACGCUAAUACCGCAUACGAACUAAGGUUGAAAGUGGGGGAUCGCAAGACCUCAUGCUCAUGGAGUGGCCGAUAUCUGAUUAGCUAGUUGGUGAGGUAAAGGCUCACCAAGGCGACGAUCAGUAGCUGGUUUGAGAGAACGACCAGGCAGACUGGAACUGAGGCGCGGUGCAGACUCCUACGGGAGGCAGCAGUGGGGAAUUUUGGACAAUGGGGGCAACCCUGAUCCAGCAAUGCCGCGUGAGUGAAGAAGGCCCUCGGGUUGUAAAGCUCUUUUGUCAGGGAAGAAACGGUCUACUCUAAUACAGUGGGCUAAUGACGGUACCUGAAGAAUAAGCACCGGCUAACUACGUGCCAGCCGCCGCGGUAAGAC
rnacentral:rRNA from 1 species